GGAUUUAUUUUAUUCGUUCUGGGGGCUUUCACAGCUUUAUGGCUGUUGGAUAUUUAUGUCCCCAAACUUGCAGCAAGUUUGGUGAAGGCCCCUACUUUUAUUUUAAUUUAGGUUUUUAAUUCUCUUUUGGUAGAUGGGCUCUAUAUUAAUAUUAAUCUUUUUAUUAUCACUGUUUUUUUUUAAGAGUCUCGGGGAGGGAACGUGUUUUGAGAGGUUUGGGUACUGUUUCACUUAUGGAACAUUUCCUUUGUGACUGGUCAGGGAGUCCUUCAGCCACACUGUACCCCUGCCCCCUUCCCCUGUGUUUUAUUUGUGCUGUAUUUGUUCUGCUUUUGACAAUGUGACUUUUUAUACAUGCUGCUGGUUCAAAAACUACAGAUUAAUUACUAAUUUUUCUUCUGGGAAGAUGUAUUUAACAAAGUGCUUGAAAUACUUAGGCUUUAACUAAGUGACAUCCCUUGUCACACAGACUUGCAGCCUAAAUUACAGUUGCUAUGGAGGAGGACAUUGACUGCUGUAUUUGUAAGCUGCCCCACAGCAAAUGUUGGUGUAGUGCCCUGUAAAGAACUAGAGAUUCCAGUCGAUGGAAGAAUGAGAAAAGAAAGCUGAAGUUCUUUCAGCUUGUCACUUUCAGGAAAACCUUUUCAUUGAUCACUUAAAUACACUGAACUUCACAGUAAUUUGUUGCAUCAGUGUACUGGGAAAAAAAUCAUCUUACUUUCUUGAAACCACGUGGGCUUGUUGCAUAUCCAAAAUUUGCUGAAGGUUAUGGCUAUCUGAAUUUACUACUUUUGCAGAAUAGCUUCCACCCUUUGUGAAGACAAACUGGUGCUGCUCACUUGGAGUAUGCUGAUUUUGAAUGCUUGAGGUGGCUUAAAGAGAGCUUCAGAAGAGCAAGUUUUGUCCAAGGAAGUUGUUAAUGUUUUUGUGGAGCACAAUCUGUAUUUCAUUUCUCCAGGAGUGGGAUCAGUAAUGACGCACUUGGAGAUUUUCAGUAAGUGGCAUUGAAGGAUAAGGAGUGGAUUUCUCAUGGGGGGCCCAAGUAGUCUCUGACUGGAAGUUGCCGUGUCCUCUGCUUACUGUUUCAGAGUAAUUGCUCAUUUCCUUACUGUGGUGCUACACUUAGGAACAGUGCUUUAAGAUACACCAGCACAACUGGUCAUUAUUUCACUUACUCAGUCUCUAGGAGCAUUUGGCUUAGUUCUUAUUUCCCCAGAGUAUCUAAAGAAGCCAUUUAACUAAGUAUUCAGCAUGACUUGUACUUCUUUAAGUAGCUGAAUCUCUGAAAGACUCCAGAUGGGGAAAAAAAACCAACAAAUUUUGGAUGGAUUGUGUUGAAUUUUGUCAUCAGUUUUCAUGUAAGAAUGAUGCAGCAUGGGGUAGUUUUUAUGCAGCUACUUGUAUUUAGCUUGUGUCACAAACAUGUAGCUGAAGUUCACACAAGUGCUUCAUUGUCUGUAAAUGAAGUGCCCUACUUAAAUCCACUUGGGCUACCUCAGUACAUUGAUAUUCUGGUGAGAGCUGAACAUUCUCAAAGCAAACUUCUGUUUUUAUUGGAGCUAAGUAGGUUUACAUGUUCAUGGAAAGUAUGUGCCAGGGAUGCAGUUCCUGUCUCCCUUGUUGUUGAUCAAGCUGUGUGUACUGAUGCUUCAAAGCAGAUGAGCCAUUUCUUUGUAUUUUUUGCAUGAUUUCACACACCACGUGACACUUCAUAGCAUCACAAUGCUAUGGAUUUUUUUUUUUUUUUUUUUUUUCUUAAAGCUUUUGGAAAAUUUCAAGAAAAUGAAUUUCACACUGCUUCUGAAAGAUGCAUUUGACUCCAGGAUAAUUCCAUGUACUGCUAUUCCAUGACAAUACCUUAUGAACUGAGGCUUUUUGCUCCAGGUUUUUCCUGUUGUUCAAACAUUCUUUGCUUCUACCCUUUACAUCGCUGUCCUUUUCUUUAAGUCUCCAUGGAUUGGACAGGACCAACCUGUUCCCUGUUUGGGUGUUGGUGUUUUUAGCAGGCUAUAUCCGUGUUACUCUGACCUGUUACCACAGACUAAUGUUUGUGCUUAAAUUUACAGCAACUAAUGAUGUGCAUUUUCCGUUUGCUUUGUGCCUCGUCCUAAAAGGUAUGUGUGCAGAGUACUGCUGUCUUUCUAGUCCAAAGGAUGGCAUGCUGACAAGGUGCAGGUAUCUGCUCAGCUGUCAGAAUAGCUGCCCUGUCGUCUCUUUAAAACAACCUGAAAAGUUCCCAUAGAUGGCAAAGGGUUCACAUCUUAUUCUUUUGGUGGAUCUUUGUUGGUGACCUCCUUCAUGCCUCGUGGAUCUAAGGAGGGUAGUACCAAAAGAAACUUACACUGUAAAUGGAAUUUAUUGAUUUGGAAGGUUGGCAGCAUUUUUACUGGCACUCCAGUGCGUGCUGUCAGUAUUGCAGCAGUGUCAUAAAGCUGUAUAAUGCACUGUGGAAUUUCAUUUCUAAUGACUGUCAUAUUUUAGUGAAUUGACUUUCAUAGGCAGUAGUGGAGGCAGGUUUUGGAGAGCUUGGUUUUUAAGAUUGUGGAGUGCUACAUAACUCUUCUUAAACAUUAGGAAUGCCCACUGGUGCUGAGGAGUGAAGGAGAGACGUAGAAAAGUACGUAGCACAGCAGGAGUUCUGGCUGGCUUUAGAACUAUUCUGUGCCAUGCCUGAUAACUGCUGUGAGCCGUAGUACUGUGAGGGCAGGCCAUCUCCAAACUUACCUUUUAAAAGUACAUAUGUACCUGCAGUCAAGGCAGCAUUACCAGGAAAUGCUGGCAGUUGCUUCAGAAAUGCAGUGACAGUGACUGCUGCGAUUUUCAGUCAGAACUAAGUGAGGUAAACAGGAGUUUGGGAGUGAGAAGUCUCAGAGGCAGCCCUGCAGGGGAUGGAGUGAGUGUUCAUUGAGUGGCUGAAGUGUUACGUAUGGAGCUGAUUUGUUUGGGAAGUUCUGAAAAAAACUUUCUGAUAAUUUUCUUGUAUUCUCCUUUAAACAGCAGCUUUAUGCAAUCUUUUGAUUAUCAGAGAAAUGCAGAUUUUUAUUCAGGCUCUACUGGAAGAAAAUACAGUUCUAGUGCAGAACUCAGAGAUUCUGUUGUAUAGUGAAUGCUCUUUUGCUCCGUGGAAGUUCUUGGGAGGUGUGAGGGAGCCAGGCGCCUCGGCGUGCCGCCUCUGCAGCCAGCAGCAUCCCGUCCUGAGCUGUGUGCUCCUGGCUGGUUCCUUCACUCCUUUGCUCUCAGCGUCCUGAUGAGUCUGUGCUGGCUGUCGGUGAGGACUUACAUUUGUGCACCGGACCUCUGUUGUGAGUAAUAACGCACCUUGUCUCUUCUGAACAAGUUUAUGCUGACUUGUUCUAUUGCUUUAGGCUCACCUGCAGUAGUACCAGGCAGCAGCACUGCCGCUUCAUAACGAUGAACUGAGCUUCUCUGCAGAUAAGUCCUGAGCAUACCUUAAUGCUCGUGUUUCUCAGGGAAGCUGAAACAUCCUGAGAAAACAGUAGAGAUUGAGUGCAAGCAGCAUGUUAACCACAAGCAGAUGAUCCACAUGUUGGCAUUACAGUGUGUUAGGUAACUACAUUGCAGCAGAUCCAGGUUUCUCACGUCUCAAAUUUUAUCUUAAAUCUUCCCUACAUCUUAACCACAUUCCCAGGUUCUUUUCAAAGAGGGUAGGUGUUGAAUUUCAACUUCCGCUGCCUUAAGUAAUCGGUAUCUAUAAAUGGUUUUGGAUGGUAGCAACUUAGAAUUACCCAAAAACUAUGCCAUACAACUAUGGAAACUGUUUCAGUGUCCCAGCUUAGGGAAGUAUAUAAUGCUGUGAAAUAAAGAUGUCAUGCAAAGCUUCUUUCUUUCUCUUUGUCCCCCCAUUGUGUUGUAGAAGUGUGUGAUACAUGCAGGCACUGACUUCUUUAGCUUCUAGUCGAAGAAAAUACAUUUUGCUCUUUCAUUUGUAAAGUCUAGAAUAAGAAAACACUUUAUGAGAGUAUUUAAUGAAGGACCCUGGCAAUGUAAGUAUUGUGAUUUCCUUUCUAUUUGUGUUAGGCAGUGGGGUUACCUUGUUAAACUUCUGGCUUGUUAUCAAAAUAACAGAAACGUAAAGGCAAAUUGAAAGUAAUUUUAUAGUUGCCUUCGCUUCAUAUGCUUUUCAUAAGUGACAAAUUGUAGUAAUUGAAGUUCGGCAGCUUUUUUAAUUGAAAAACUAAAUUACGGGUUGAACUCCUUGGUUUAAUACAAUUUGUGUUUUUGUCAACUAGCAGCAGAAUUUCAGCAUUUGCUACUUACUGGUAGAGAAGAAAUAUCCUACAGCACUGCCAGUACAGGUUAGUUUAAUCUGUAAGUACCUGAUGUUCCUAUUUGAAAUAAUAUGUUCAAAUGAUACCUUUUAAAUACAAAGGGAAUUUUGAUCUCUGUAAUGUCACUGUGUCUUUGUUACCUACUGCUGUGCUCAGUAGUGAGUGAAUACCUAGAUAAUCUUUUGAAGGUCUCUAAUGAUUUUAACUGUGCCUGUGGAUUAGGUACUAUGUGCAAGCCAGGCUGCCUUUGGUGUUUUAAAGUCAGCCAGUUCUCCAUUCAUUGCCUAUUGCAGAAGGCAGUUUUAUCAGUGAGCCAAUUACAGGAUACUUGUGCUGGGGAAUAAGCAGUUCAGUUUGUAAGAAUUUGUAGCUGUACUGUAACUUUUCUUUAGUUGUUAAUUAUUGUUGCUACCAAUAGAAUUUUGCUCUGUAUAGUUGGUAUGCCAGGAGCUGCUUGUUCUUUCACUUAUGGCCCACUUCUAGUUAAGCCUCGUAUGCUUCAUCUCCACACAUCACUGUGGGAGAUGAAAGUCUUCUGUGCUGUGGCACAUAGGAUAGGUUCACUGCUGGAUAAGCUGUGAAACUCUGUGCCUUAACUUACACUUGGUAAGUGAAUUAUCACACAGUGAAUUUGAGGGGCUCUUGGAAACCAUUGGUGGAUAAUUACACAAGGAUGUAGCAGUGCAGAACCCAGACAGACGUUUCACUGGCUCACGUAAUGCUUUUCACUAGUUAAGAGUGAAGUGACACUUCAGCAGUAUUGCUUGUUUGGGGGUUUUGAACUUGUAUGUAAUGUUGCAGGUCUCAUCAAAGAAAGGUGAGGUUUCAAGGGGAUUCCCAGUGCUUGUAAUAGUUGGACACAGCCCAUCUCCCAGCAUCUUUGUGUUGGUUUUCAGGCAUUCGCACUGAAUUGCUUUGCAAAAGUAGUGAUGUGUAAACUUCAAUAAUUUUGCUUGGGUGUUUUUCCCUAGAGGAAAACAAGAGUUGCAUAAUAAAUUUUGUAGCUUAUCUUUGCCUCUGUCUCCUACAACUUCAUGGCAUGUUUAAUAGGAAUUCCUCGCUGUGAGGCUGUUAUCUUAACAGACUGUGCCUCUUCCUUCUGCCUUGUGUAGUUGAUCCUCAUUUACUGAGCACUGUAAUAAUUAUUGUAAGUAAGAAUAAGUAACGGAUUGCUUUUGGCUGCUGGAUUACUAUUUGAAAACUCAGUUCUGCCCAUGGGUGAAUGCUGACCUGCACUACUUGCACCCCAGCUUGGCAAUGAAUGAGGUUCUUUACUUUUUCAUCAACAAACUGUAUUUCUUUGGGAUAGAUCCUAGUGUGAACUGCAGUGUUAUCUCUCUGUGAAACUUUAUGGCAGUUGAAGUAUUUUUUGGUAGAAUUAAGUUUAUUUUCUUUUGAGAUGGGACAAAACAGGAGGAAUCUGAGCUUUCAUAUUCAAGUGGGCAGUCUUAAGACGUAGCUCACCUUCUGAUGCAGUUACAGCAGCUGUACAGUCUGAUGCAGUUCUGAAGCAGUAAGUGGGGAACAGGGAGCCAGUUCACACUUUGAUUCAGACUUCUGCUUAAUGACUUCAGGUUGCCCAUUCGGAGACUUUAGUUACUGUGCAGCAAACUCAGACCUCCUGUUUACCUUCCUCAGGUGAAGCACAUUAUUGAAAUGUGUCCCUCUCUGCAGUAGCCCAGCUACAGAUGCCAGUAUGUCAGGAAUGUUCUUGUAACUUGAUGCAGCUCUUGUGUAAGUGGUAUGAAGGGGAUGCGAUCAGUGAUCUUUGAUCAAGGGCAAAAUAUUGAUGUUGAAUUUGAUUUCAGAAGGACUGGUAAGUAUGUGCAUUGCUUUAGUGCAUGCAGGCACCAAUAAUUGUAGCUUAAUUUUUAUAGCAUUCAGUUUACAAAGAAGAUUCAAAGAAAAUAUGGAGCAAACAUCAUUGGCAUCCCUUGGGAACCUUCUGUGAACUGUAUUUCAGGCAUAGAUAACUGCGCGUAUGUAUGUAUACAAACUGCUUUGAAACAGUCUCUGAUUAAAUAUAAGUAAAACACUGCUUCUGUGUAUUUUUCUUUCUCAUCUUGAGACCUAUUUAAAUUAAUGCAAGAAAUGUUAGCUGUUUCACAGUGUUUAUGAAACCCACUUUCCCUCAUGUUAUUUAAACCAUAACUCUUGACUCGUUCUCUGUAAACCAUUCAGGAACUUAGCAGUCUGUACCUGGAGAUGAGAAGUAAGUGAAUCUUUUUUAAUAUUUAACUUUUGGUGUUUAUCCACUGUCCUUUUUCUGAACUGAUUGUACAGAGAAAUUAGAUUACGUUGGAGAGGGAGGGGAAUGUUGGGGGGAAAGUGUCUAAUAGCAUUUUCAUGAAACCUAGUGGAGGGGACAUUAAGUGGUCUGUCUGUUCUAAACAGCAAAGCACUGGAGAAAUGAGGAUGUUUGUCCUUGCAGCUCUCCUGCAUGGAUAACUGCUAGGCAGGUUGGUCUCAUUUAAUCGUACUCAUUGGACUCACAGGUUAAUUUCUUGAGAUACUGAAAUAUUAAAUCCUGGAUUUUCAGUACUGUGUGACAUGAUGCAGUGUUUGUCCUCAGGCCAUUUCAGCAGUGUCUGAGACUAUUUCAGGUGUGCUCUGAUGGCCUACAGGGGGGCCAAGACAGGAGCUUUGUCACCUGGCUUGUUAAAGCUCUCCCAAAUUUGAUUCAGUAGUCAGAUUGUUGGGGUAUUUGACUGUGAGCAUGUAAAGGAUGAGCCUGGAUUUAAUCUGCCCCAUGACUCCUGUUUUGUAAAUAAAGCAGGGCCACCCUGAGUGCAGGUGUAUGGUUUUUCUCUCUUGGCUUUUCUGUUUGUUAGUUUGGAGGAAGUCAGAUAGUAAUUUAUCUUUGUAAUACAGUGAAGCAGAGUUUGAAUCAAGGCCCUUGUGUUUCUAAGAGGUAAGGAUGAGUGCCUUUGAAAAGAAAGACUCCUUGUGUGUUAGAAGGAAGACUUUCAAGUCUGUAGUGGUGUGGACAUUUAUAUAUGUAUAUAUAUGUUUAUAUGCAUUCCUUUAUUUCUUGUUGCUUCUCCCCCCUGCCCCCCUUCCUCCUGUCCUGCACCACAGCUGUAGCUUUGAAUUGCAGGAAGGGGGGUUUUUUAUGCUGAAAUAUGAACCUGAGGUUGGUGUGACUGUGCUGCUCCCCUUCCCUUGCACCUUCUCCAGCCCUGGUUCUGAAACCUGCAUUAAUCCAUGUGUGCUAGCAGUGUAGCUCACUUCCCCAGGCACACAUCAUCACUGAAGUCAUUUUAUGAGAGUACAAGUCUUUAUUUAGUAGAAUUAUAAAAGAUCUUUACAUGAGAAAUACAAAAAUAGGAAAUAGGCUUUAAAUCUCCUUAGUUAAAAGUACUUUUUUUCUUUAGGCUGUAGAAAUAGUAAAUUGCUCUCAUACACUGUAAAACUAGGAAAAACCUUACAGUGAAGUGUUCCAGUACAGUCACUGUAAGUGCCCAAUCGCUCACACACAGAACAGUCCAUGAUUUAUUAGUUGGAGACACAAUGGCACAACCAGAUCAAUCUCCACUUUUCCUCUAGCUAAUGAAUUUUUUGAAAGAUGCAGUAUAACUUUUCCAGUUGUUAUAAUAUGAUUAAAUAUAAACACAAAAAUGAUUAAGGAAGAUUUGGCAUGCUUUGUACUCGUACCACUUUUUACUAGGAAGUGGUAUCAAAACAGUUAUUAAAUAAAUAUAAAUAUGUUAAAUAAAUACAUUGCACACCACACACCCACCUCUGUCAAAUUAGAAAUCAGCAUUUCUUCGCACACAUUUGAUGCUUUGUGUCACAGCUUUAGGGCCAAAGAAGAGAAAUACUGCAUCUUUAGAAACACAGGUUCCCAUGGACAUAAAGCAGAAAAUGAGGUAACUUUGCAGCUUUCUUCCUCCUAUCAAUUCACUGCUUGAUACGUCUCAGUUCCCAUUCAGCUUCUUUUACCCAGGACUCAUUUCUUACCUCUGGCUCUGCAGCUGCCACUCCUUUUCCUUAGAAGAAAGGAAGGAAUGCUUGCAGUGGGUGAAUCAUUACCAUUUCAGGAGCAGUUCCUUGCUGACAUCAGCGUAUCUCCUGAAGUUACUUGCGCAGAUGCUGGUUUAAGUCAAGUACUGCUCUAGCUCUCCUGUGAAUACUGGCUGACAUUAAAACAGUGAGGUUUGCGAAGCCUUUAACUUUUUUCAAGUUUUCUAACUUCAUCUGCUCCAAUAGGAGGUUCUGUUUCCAGGUAAUGCUGAUUUAACAAGGGUGAGUCUUUUUAGAGGUUUUGCCUCACUAAAAACAAUUCCCUCUCCCCUCACUGCAGUGUGCCUAAUGCAGUGUGGCAGUAGUGCAAUGGCAGGCUCUGAUUUGCUGCAACUAAAAGGUUCCUUUUGCGGGUCCCACCCCCUAGUAAUUCUAUAAUUUCAGUUACUGUAUUUUGAUUCUUUGCAGUAAAACAUAACAUCAAGUACAGUAUAGGGAUAGUGGAUGAUGGUUAUAUCUAGCUUUUGCUCUCCCUCUUCGCUUAUCCUGAGACCUUCCUUGGGAUAACUCCAGCACCAGGGUUCAUUGCUUUUGCAGCUUCAUUGCUCCUUGGUCUCCUACUAUCUCCUGAUCCAGUGCAGGCACAGUACAAGGCACUUCUUGGAAGCUUGGUUUCCUCAAAGAGACAAUCAGCUCUUUGAUCCUGCUUUUCCCUGCAAAAGGUAGGCCUGUUUCAAAGCCUUGUGCUUGGAAUGUUGGUUCCAGAGAAGAAAGCUUGCUCUGCUCUCAAACAGCAUCUCCUGCAAUGCUCUUCUCUGCAGAGUCCUGAUCAUAGUAGUGCUGAAACAGUCUUUCGUGGCAGCAGAUAUGCAUUGCAUGAGAACUCCCUGCCGUUCUGACAAGACACCAUUUGUUACCUGUCUGAAGAGGAACAGUGAUGUGCUCCCUCCAGUCCAUCUUCACCACCUCUCUUCCUCCUCUUUCUAACUGCUUGACUAUUGGACCAUCUAAAGCUUCUUUCUCUAUCCGGUCACUGACAUCCUGGAAGAGACACUCCAGUUAUUUUCAGUGGUAUUCCUAAGCAUUUCCCAGUUAUUUCAAAUUACAGCUUCUGGCCUCCUGCUAUUGGAGGUGAUUCUACUUUGGGACAAAUACUAUGCAAGGAAUAAUGCUUGGGAUGAAGAUGGUGAAAUACAGUCACAGAGGACUAUCUGCCAAAAGCUGUAUUUCUUUUUAAUCACUGAAUAGAAAAGACUGGAAAGAACCUCAAGUCCUCACGCAGUUCCCACCCCAUGCUUAAUACACACAUUCACCACAGCAGUCUACUCUGUUCAUAAAAACUGGCUUGGCAACAUGUUAUCCUGCAUUGUGUCACCUCAAACAUGCACAAAAUAGGGAUGAGAACAGUGAAUUCAAGAUCUGAUGGUCGAGACAAACCUGAAAAAACCGGAGCUGCUUUUCUAAACUCCAAAAGAAUGGGUGUUUUAGCACACAGCUGGCAGAUGGACGUUUCUGAGGGUCCAUGUUUAUCAUUUGCUCUAUUAAAUCACGAGCCACUAUGUCUUCUGCAAGGAAAAGGGUGAGCAUUCAGAAGCUGCAGGGAAAGCUAAUAUUCUGUAUGAAAAUGGUUAAAUUUCCUAUUUCCUCCUAUGCAAUCCCAAGCAAGAGCUCAAAUGACACCCUCACAGAUACUGUAGGCAACCAACAGAAGGUUACAUUGCAUCAAUGCAAUUAGGAAGAUCUUUCCUACCCUUUAAACUCUACUGUCAAGCUUGCAGGAAUCUAGAUUUUUCCAACUAACUGAGAUGCUUUUGGAGAAGAAUACUAAGAACUUCAGGAGCUUCACUGCAGGAGUACAGCUUUCACCAUUGCCAAGUGGGUUUCACUGUGGGUUUCAGUUUUGCCUUUUCUAUGACAAUUUUAGCACCCACUGGAUACUCACUGAGUUCAGCAGUGAUCUUUGUUUGCCUUUCUUACCGUGCCUCCCUGCAUCCAACAAUUCCAGGCUGUAUGCACCCAGCAGAAUGUUGGCUUGUCGCUGUAGAGAUUUGCCAAAGGGGUGGCUGCCCUCAGAUACCACAUAGUAAAAGACACAGCCUGCUGAAAAGAUGUCCACGGUGUACGUCUGCAAAUAAGCAAUAAUUUAUUAUUUAAUUAAUAAUAAUUGUUUAUUAUUUAAUUAAAAGCAACAAGAUUUUUCCUGUGGA